GUGCCAGCCGCCGCGGUAAUACGGAGGGGGUUAGCGUUGUUCGGAAUUACUGGGCGUAAAGCGCACGUAGGCGGAUCAGAAAGUUGGGGGUGAAAUCCCGGGGCUCAACCCCGGAACUGCCUCCAAAACUCCUGGUCUUGAGUUCGAGAGAGGUGAGUGGAAUUGCGAGUGUAGAGGUGAAAUUCGUAGAUAUUCGCAGGAACACCAGUGGCGAAGGCGGCUCACUGGCUCGAUACUGACGCUGAGGUGCGAAAGUGUGGGGAGCAAACAGGAUUAGAUACCCGUGUAGUCC
rnacentral:rRNA from 1 species